rnacentral:rRNA from 2 species
GACGAACGCUGGCGGCGUGCCUAAUACAUGCAAGUCGAGCGGACAGAAGGGAGCUUGCUCCCGGAUGUUAGCGGCGGACGGGUGAGUAACACGUGGGUAACCUGCCUGUAAGACUGGGAUAACUCCGGGAAACCGGAGCUAAUACCGGAUAGUUCCUUGAACCGCAUGGUUCAAGGAUGAAAGACGGUUUCGGCUGUCACUUACAGAUGGACCCGCGGCGCAUUAGCUAGUUGGUGGGGUAAUGGCUCACCAAGGCGACGAUGCGUAGCCGACCUGAGAGGGUGAUCGGCCACACUGGGACUGAGACACGGCCCAGACUCC